rnacentral:misc_RNA from 1 species
GCUCACGCAGAUCUAUCGGAUCGUUUUAGAAACAUUCAGGGGCCAAUUGAUCGCCAGAUCGUUGAGCUCCAUAGGCGGGAUUUCGCCGUCUUCGUUUCUCUUUCUUCGCGGACGAACACGCGCCAGGGGCUGCGCUGUGCGACGCGUCUGGCGUUAAGUCGGAUGCGCGCUGGGCAAGCCUCGAUCCCUUAAGUAGGGAGAGCGUUGGGGCUUGUAGCUCAGUUGGUUAGAGCGCGCGCUUGAUAAGCGUGAGGUCGGAAGUUCAAGUCUUCCCAGGCCCACCACUUCAUCGAGCGCAUGUGUCUCUCCUAGGGCUUGAGCCUGUAGCAUUCGUCUUCUGGUUACGGGGCCAUAGCUCAGCUGGGAGAGCGCGUGCUUUGCAAGCAUGAGGUCGUCGGUUCGAUCCCGUCUGGCUCCACCACGCUUCGCCUGAAGGCUUCGCGUGGCGCAGCUACGCAGGAGAAAUCGAAGCGUGCCCGGCGAAGCUCGUAAGAGCGAAGACGGGCUUUCGAGUGACCCGUAACCAAACAUCGUCCGCGAAACAUCAAUUCGCAUGCAUCAUUCGCAAUCGAAUAUGCACUGCGUGUUUUCUGACAUCGUAAAGAGGAGAUCGAUCCGAGUUGGGUCGCAUGGAAAUUCUAUGCGUAUCCUUCACUAUCUCCGGGUCAUUUCGGCGCUCGCGCCUUUUGCAGACUGACGUCUGCGGGAGAUGCGGGUUGUAAAUGACUCUGUUAGCGAAGCCUGACCGCCUCGCUAUCGGUUCGAUCUUACGAAGCAAGCUGGUCUUUCUAAUCAGUGUCCGCUGCGCGAACUCUCCUGGUGAAGGUUCGUGCGGUAUGCAUUCUGCCGAGUGUGUGGACAUUGAUAAUGAGAGCAAUCAAGUGCCUUAAGGGUGUUCGGUGGAUGCCUUGGCGCUGAGAGGCGAUGAAGGACGUGCUACGCUGCGAUAAGCCGUGGG